rnacentral:rRNA from 1 species
CAGUAGCCGCGGUAAUACGUAGGUGGCAAGCGUUGUCCGGAUCUACUGGGCGUAAAGCGAACGCAGGCGGACUGUUAAGUAGGAAGUGAAAGGUCGGAGCUCAACUCCAACAUUGCUUCCUAUACUGGCAGUCUUGAGUAGCGGAGAGGAAGGGGGAACGACACGUGUAGCGGUGAAAUGCGUUGAUAUGUGUCGGAACACCCAUGGCGAAAGCACCCUUCUGGACGCAAACUGACGCUCAGGUUCGAAGGCCAAGGUAGCGAACAGGAUUAGAUACCCCAGUAGUCCCUGUCUCUUAUAC